CCUACGGGUGGCAGCAGUGAGGAAUAUUGGUCAAUGGACGAGAGUCUGAACCAGCCAAGUAGCGUGAAGGAUGACUGCCCUAUGGGUUGUAAACUUCUUUUAUAUGGGAAUAAAAUGUUCCACGUGUGGGAUUUUGUAUGUACCAUAUGAAUAAGGAUCGGCUAACUCCGUGCCAGCAGCCGCGGUAAUACGGAGGAUCCGAGCGUUAUCCGGAUUUAUUGGGUUUAAAGGGAGCGUAGGUGGAUUGUUAAGUCAGUUGUGAAAGUUUGCGGCUCAACCGUAAAAUUGCAGUUGAAACUGGCAGUCUUGAGUGCAGUAGAGGUGGGCGGAAUUCGUGGUGUAGCGGUGAAAUGCUUAGAUAUCACGAAGAACUCCGAUUGCGAAGGCAGUUCACUGGACUGCAACUGACACUGAGGCUCGAAAGUGUGGGUAUCAAACAGGAUUAGAUACCCUAGUAGUC
rnacentral:rRNA from 1 species